rnacentral:rRNA from 1 species
UACGUAGGGUGCAAGCGUUUAAUCGGAAUUACUGGGCGUAAAGCGUGCGCAGGCGGUUUGUAAGUCAGAUGUGAAAUCCCCGGGCUUAACCUGGGAACUGCGUUUGAAACUACAAGGCUAGAGUGUGGCAGAGGGGGGUGGAAUUCCACGUGUAGCAGUGAAAUGCGUAGAGAUGUGGAGGAACACCGAUGGCGAAGGCAGCCUCCGUGGGCCAGCACUGACGCUCAGUGCACGAAAGCGUGGGGAGCAAACAGG